AGUAUUACACCGCAAUAACCACGAAAUUUAUUAUUUUCGUCUCUAAAUCCGCGUAAAAGUUUCACUUUUCAUCCGCUUAGGUUAUGUUUAGUUCGCAACGUAUUUCAAUAACUUUUAUUUGUUCGCUAUAAUAAUAAAUUUACAACAACGGAACCUACACUGAAAUUUUUAUAGAUCCACCGAAACUAUUAUUAUUUAUAGAAUAUAUGCGACAGAUAUUUA